rnacentral:lncRNA from 1 species
AUGGGGACCCCAAAGUGCCCUGUCCACAAAUGGGGGGGACCCCAAAGUGCCCCGUCCCCAAAUGGGGGGGACCCCAAAGUGCCCUGUCCUGAAAUAUGGGGACCCCAAAGUGCCCCGUCCCCAAAUGGGGGGGGACCCCAAAGUGCCCUGUCCUGAAAUAUGGGGACCCCAAAGUGCCCUGUCCCCAAGUGGGGGGGACCCCAAAGUGCCCUGUCCCCGAAUGGGGGGGACCCCCGUGUCCCCGUGUCUCUGUGUCCCCGUGUCCCCAUGUCAUGAUGUCCCUGUGUCCCUAUGUCCCUGUGUUCCUGUGUCCCCGUGUCCCCGUGUCACCAUGUCCCCGUGUCCCCAUGUCCCCCUGUCUUUGUGUCCCCGUGUCCCCAUGUCACGAUGUCCUUGUGUCCCCAUGUCCCUUUGUCUUUGUGUCCCCGUGUCCCCAUGUCACGAUGUCCCCAUGUCCCCAUGUCCCCCUGUCUUUGUGUCCCCAUGUCCCCGUGUCCCUCUGUCUUUGUGUCCCCGUGUCCCCCUGUCUUUGUGUCCCC